GGGGGCGAAAUAGGAUCGACAAGGGUGUAAAGAUUGCUCUUUUACUCGGCAUAGUACCACCGUCAUCGGACUAAAUGAGUAGUUGCAAAUGACAACUAUGCGGAAGCACGUCUCGCUGCUUAAUGUAGUGUGAAUGUUUCAAACUAAGCCUUAAAUCGUCGCAGAUUUAAGCGGGGUUCGAAGGCACCUGGCAACAGAAGCCUUCACU
rnacentral:tmRNA from 1 species